UGAGUAACACGUAUCCAACCUGCCGUCUACUCUUGGACAGCCUUCUGAAAGGAAGAUUAAUACAAGAUGGCAUCAUGAGUCCGCAUGUUCACAUGAUUAAAGGUAUUCCGGUAGACGAUGGGGAUGCGUUCCAUUAGAUAGUAGGCGGGGUAACGGCCCAUCUAGUCUUCGAUGGAUAGGGGUUCUGAGAGGAAGGUCCCCCACAUUGGAACUGAGACACGGUCCAA
rnacentral:rRNA from 1 species